rnacentral:lncRNA from 1 species
CUUCGUUGCUUGUCGGGCGUUGGCCGUGGCGUAAUGAUACAUGCUGUGUCUGACACCAGGGAGGAGGACAGCCUAGUGUAAGUGAUCCUGCUGGAGACGCUGCUGGCCAGGAGCCAUGGUCAUGUAAGCAGCAGAGACAGAGAGACAGAGAGAGAGAGACAGAGAGAGAGCGCGUGAGAGAAAGAUCAGUCUGAAGAGGCUGCUGCCUGGCCGUGCUAGCUCUGCCUCCUGGCCUGAGCUGGAGGUGAAGGAGAGACUAUCACAGUCUCCUUGUCAGCUGCAAGGGGUUGCACCGACAAUGGGCAAAAGGGAUAGGAGAAGCCUAGCUGAUUGGAAACAUCUGGGCGACUGUAAGGAGCACUCCCCCGUCACGCAAAGCUUGCUGAGAUUCGACAGUGCCCUCUGAAGUGACAGCUUUGACCUCAGCCAGUGUGCAUGCGUGCAGCUGCCAGAAACAGGACUGCCUAGCUGAAAAACACUGGCUUGAGCUAGCCGCUCAAGGCACUGGAUGGUACCAUAGACAGCCACAAGCUUGAUAGGACCAUAGUCGGCAGGCAUCAUUUUAACAACAGCAAAAGCAAAACCGCUGUUGAAGGGAGCUUACUAUGGAUGUACUGAGCCAGUCUUUAAAAAAAAACGAGCUCCUUCCAACAUACAGCUGUAUCAAAUCCAGAGACUGGUGGAGAAGACGUAUCUGUGAGAAAACUUAAAUAAUAGAAACCACACAGUCCCGUUUAUAUUUGACCACUAUAAGCUAAAGCAAUCCCAGAACAUAACACAUGCGCUUCAAUACAAAAGCAAUGCACUGCUGUUCUACAAAUUGAUUUUAAGUCACAAUAUAAUGGGAUUUUGCCACAUAAAACAGCAACACUGUUAUGGAAUGUUUAUAAUGUCUACAUUUGUUAAAUACUUAAGUCACCUACAGCAUUGCUAAAACAAAAUAUCAGACAGCACACUUCUCAUAUUGUUCUAUUUUGCAUACAUUGUUAUACGUAAAUAUGCCAUUAUAGAGUUUAGCGCAACAUCACUCUAUAACCAUAUUAAUAUUAAUGUUUAUGGUAAUGAACAUUGUUUGAUGGAGAACACUUAUUCAGAUUAGAUUAAUUACAGUAAUGAAUGCAAAAAAUGAUCAGAUAAUAUGUUCUUGUGUCCUUGAUAUGCAAUGAGGUGUAUUAAACAGACU